rnacentral:lncRNA from 10 species
AGGUGGAUGUUAGGGUCUUGACAGCAGGGGCACCAUCAUCUUGGACAAACACCACCUCUUUAAGUUCUAGCUCCCUUUCUAACCUCAUGCAUUUCAAGGAAAUCACUUCUCUUCUAACAACAAGCAGCAAGAAAGAGCAGACAGUAAAACACAGAUAAGACAGGUCAGACACAGAGGGAGGGGGAAAGUCUCUUGGGUAACCACCAAACUUCACACUCACACAAUGGGCCCCAGUAAAACAGUGGGCCCUGGUAAGCACAUUACUUUCCCUUUAGGUGCACUAAGAUAGGAAAGCUAAAAGAAGACUCAGGGGGUAUGCCUGCAGCUGCAGGAAGAUGUAUACAAAAACUCUCCCUCCCACAUAAGCAAGACAAAGAGACACAGAAACAUUCGAAGCCUGUGAUAAGGUAUGCCACCUGAAUCCCUAAAAACUCUUAGUCUGUGAGAGAGAAUGCCUCUGACCUAACUCGGCCAGAAGUCCCUCUCAGGUUUAUUCCCCAAAAUAAACCUGUCUUUGACUGUUGAGCUGCUUUUCAUGUUUCUUUCCUCUUUCUUUAACUCUUACAGGUCUCCUCCCAUCUCCUCACUUGAUGCCCUGCAAUUAUGAAGCUCUGUGCUGCAAACCCUCCUAUCUCUGUGUAUUGGUCUGUUACUGCACAAGAGACAUACAAACCUGUUGGUCUUCUAACAUUUUUAUUAUACUUAUUUAUAGGUGGCUUUCUAUGGCUAACUGCCCCUAAACCCUGAAAUGUUCCAACUAAUAAACAGGUAUUUCAAGAUUUCUGAUGUAAUAGAAGUGCAUUAAUUCCAGGAAUCAUUGUACUUGUGUAAAGUCUGUGCCUAUGGAGAAUGAGAGUGUUGUUGAUAGUAUUGAAUUAAGUAAAGUAGAAAUCAUUUUUAAUUAAAAAGUAUUAUUCUUAGCUAAUGU